CAGAGCCGCGGUAAUACGUAGGUGGCAAGCGUUGUCCGGAAUUAUUGGGCGUAAAGGGCUCGCAGGCGGUUUCUUAAGUCUGAUGUGAAAGCCCCCGGCUCAACCGGGGAGGGUCAUUGGAAACUGGGAAACUUGAGUGCAGAAGAGGAGAGUGGAAUUCCACGUGUAGCGGUGAAAUGCGUAGAGAUGUGGAGGAACACCAGUGGCGAAGGCGACUCUCUGGUCUGUAACUGACGCUGAGGAGCGAAAGCGUGGGGAGCGAACAGGAUUAGAUACCCCUGUAGUCCCUGUCUCUUAUACA
rnacentral:rRNA from 1 species